rnacentral:rRNA from 1 species
UGGGGAAUAUUGGACAAUGGGCGCAAGCCUGAUCCAGCCAUGCCGCGUGAGUGAUGAAGGCCCUAGGGUUGUAAAGCUCUUUCAACGGUGAAGAUAAUGACGGUAACCGUAGAAGAAGCCCCGGCUAACUUCGUGCCAGCAGCCGCGGUAAUACGAAGGGGGCUUGCGUUGUUCGGAAUUACUGGGCGUAAAGCGCGCGUAGGCGGAUAGAUCAGUCAGGGGUGAAAUCCCGGGGCUCAACCCCGGAACUGCCUUUGAUAGUGUCAAUCUAGAGAUCGAGAGAGGUGAGUGGAAUUCCGAGUGUAGAGGUGAAAUUCGUAGAUAUUCGGAGGAACACCAGUGGCGAAGGCGGCUCACUGGACAAGUAUUGACGCUGAGGUGCGAAAGCGUGGGGAGCAAACAGGAUUAGAUACCCCCGUAGUCC